rnacentral:rRNA from 1 species
AGUUUGAUCAUGGCUCAGAUUGAGCGCUGGCGUGCAUGCUUUACACAUGCAAGUCGAACGGUAACAGGUCUUCGGAUGCUGACGAGUGGCGAACGGGUGAGUAAUACAUCGGAACGUGCCUAGUAGUGGGGGAUAACUACUCGAAAGAGUAGCUAAUACCGCAUGAGAUCUACGGAUGAAAGCAGGGGACCUUCGGGCCUUGUGCUACUAGAGCGGCUGAUGGCAGAUUAGGUAGUUGGUGGGGUAAAGGCUUACCAAGCCUGCGAUCUGUAGCUGGUCUGAGAGGACGACCAGCCACACUGGGACUGAGACACGGCCCAGACUCCUACGGGAGGCAGCAGUGGGGAAUUUUGGACAAUGGGCGAAAGCCUGAUCCAGCAAUGCCGCGUGCAGGAUGAAGGCCCUCGGGUUGUAAACUGCUUUUGUACGGAACGAAAAGCCUGGGGCUAAUAUCCCCGGGUCAUGACGGUACCGUAAGAAUAAGCACCGGCUAACUACGUGCCAGCAGCCGCGGUAAUACGUAGGGUGCAAGCGUUAAUCGG